UACGAAGGGGGCUAGCGUUGCUCGGAAUCACUGGGCGUAAAGGGCGCGUAGGCGGCCAUUCAAGUCGGAGGUGAAAGCCCAGGGCUCAACCCUGGAAUUGCCUUCGAUACUGUCUGGCUAGAGACCGGAAGAGGUAAGUGGAACUGCGAGUGUAGAGGUGAAAUUCGUAGAUAUUCGGAAGAACACCAGUGGCGAAGGCGGCUCACUGGCCCGGUACUGACGCUGAGGUGCGAAAGCGUGGGGAGCAAACAGG
rnacentral:rRNA from 1 species